rnacentral:rRNA from 1 species
AUGUAAGUUUUUGCGUGAAUUUUUAUUUAUUUUAAUAAUAAAUAAAUUUUAUUAUAUUUUCAGUAAUUAAUUUUAUUUAUUAAAGCAAUUUAUAAAUAGUAAUUUUAUUAUAGUAUUGGCUAAAUUUGUGCCAGCAGCUGCGGUUAUACAAAUAAUACAAGUAAAAUCAGUUCAGUGUAAGUUAAAUUUUAUAUUAAUAGAAUAAUUAUAAAUUUAUUAGGUGAAAUUUUAAAUUUAUUUAUUUCUAAUUUUUUUUAUUGAAGCUUGUAAAUUUUAUAAAUAAACUAGGAUUAGAUACCCUAUUAUUUUAAAUGUAAUUUUAAACACUAAGGUAGUAGUAGUUAUGUUCUUAAAACUUAAAAAAUUUGGCGGUAUUUUAGUCUAUUCAGAGGAACCUGUUCUUUAAUCGAUAGUCCACGAUGUACCUUACUUAAGUUUGUUUUUCAGUUUAUAUACCGUCGUUAUUAGAAUAUUUUAUUAGAAUAAUAAUUUUCUAUAAUUUUUAUUAAAAUUUAUAUCAGAUCAAGGUGUAGCUUAUAUUUAAGUAGAGAUGGGUUACAAUAAAAUUAUUUAAGCGAAUUUAAAUUUGAAAUAUUUAAUGAAGAUGGAUUUGAUAGUAAAGUUUUAAAGAUAAAAAAUUUGAUUUUAGCUCUAAAAUAUGUACACAUCGCCCGUCACUCUUACUAUUAAGGUAAGAUAAGUCGUAACAUAGUAGAUGUA